AAAUGGGUGCAGAGAUUCAGGCUGGCCAAGGCUGGCACAAGGACAUUCCCAGUGGCGAGAGCAUGAGCAAGGGUCACGGAUGUGCCAGGAGGGGAGGCGGAGAGAUGCCUGGGACCAACCUCUAUGGCAGGCCGCGGCCCAAGGGCAGGGGAGGGGUGGACGGAGGGAAGGGACAGGGUCUCCUCCGGGACCCCAGGGAGGCUGGGCCCAAGGACCAUGGAGCCUCGCAGCUGAAUGGAGCCCCCCAGGCCUGCCUUCUGUCCUGGGAACCAGGGCCUCCCUCGAGCCAGAGUCCUGAGCGCCGCUUGCCCCCCGCCCACAGCGGCCCCAGCGAGCGCGCUGCAGAGGGCGCGGGUGCCGUGACUCAGCCGAGCACCGCGAUGUCAGCGGACGCGGGACCGGACUGGACACGACCGAGCCACCUCCCCGGAGGCCGCAGCGCCGGCAGUCUCCCAGGAUCAGUCAGCCAAGAGACCCGAGAUUCUCAAAUCACGGCAGCCGCCAGAGGUGCCCCUGAAAUCACAGCUACGCCCUAGCUCAGCCCCGCCUGGAACUGUGCUCCUUUUAUCUCUGCCCAAGGUGAGGGAACUCAGGGGACCUUCCUGCUCCUGCCCCGCCCCUGCCCCCACAACCUUUGGCAUCAACCACUGUCCCCACCCCCAUCUCGGGGACUUGCUAGUCCUGGGGCUGCUGGGAGGGGUACAGCCACAAGAGGGAUGCCAAGCCAGGGCAAUAUGACGCCCCCACAGCCCACCCCACUGGUCUCCAGAGAGGCCCAGAGAUGUCCAGCUGGGCAGGCAGAGGACAGAGAGGCUCGGGCAGGCUUGGCCCAGGGCAGAGAAGGCCCAGGUGCAGGCACCCUGAGCACAGAUGGCCCCCCAGCCCCCACCCAGCUACCCAGGCCUGGGCGCUGCAGACAGCGAGUGCACUUCCCCAGAGGGCCAGGUGGCUCCUCCCACGGCAGUAUCACCCACUUCCCCCAGCUCACCACCAGCUGGGCCCUGGUCUCCCAGGAGAAUCUUACACAUUGAAGAUGUACUGUGCUCAGCUCUUUGCCGGAAGCUAAAGCUCCCAAUUGGGCCAUCCCACCCCACUCUGCCACCUCUGCCAUCUAGGAACCCAGAUGCCCGGAGAGGAGGUCUGUCCUGGGGCCCUUAGUGUCUUCCCACAGGAGCCCAGCGCGUGCCUGCAAGGGCCUGGUCCCGGAAUGAACUGUGGAUGGAGGCUGCUUUGUCCUUUUCCCCGUCCAGAUCCAUGCCCAUAGACACCGCUGACUAUAGGCUGGGCCCAGGGUCCCUUCCUCCAGCCUGCAGCAGAGGGGCUUUCCAGGCUGGAAAGGGAAGGAGUCCUUUUGUCCCUGACGCAAGCGGGUUGGGGGCCAGCACCCGCUCCAGGAAGAGGAAGGGAUCCAGCCUGAAGUCCAGACUCCCCGCUCCCUCUAAGCCAGGGCCUGGAGCCUGGAGGCCAGGUUCCUUCUUCUACACCAGCCCACGUUGGGUGCCAGCCAGGCUGGGAUGGCCCUGCGGGGUCACCCUGAGCCCCAGCCAACCAACACCCCACUCUCAGCCACAGUGGGAGGCCCCAUCAGCCUCUUCACCCAACCACGUUGCCACUCUGCUGCACGGGACCUUGUGUGGUCCCAGGCGUGGCCAGACCCAGACGUCCUGGAGAUCUCAAUGCAGACACCCGGCGGCAGUUCCUGCAGGAAGGAGGCUGUCCUGCCACGCCUGCGGGUGACCCGGCCUCUGGUGCCAGAGCCUGCCAUCCUUCCUGUUUGUGCUGCCAGGCUGGCAGGGUCCCUUGCCACCGACCUCAGCCGCAGCCACAGCCUGCUCCCUCCCUGGGUGGAUUUGAAGGAGCCUCCCCCACCCUCCGCCCCUAGCUUGCUCCUUGAGGACCCUGGGCAGGGUGGCUGCCAUGGGGCCCAAUCGUGCGUGGGAACCUGCGAGCUGGCAAACGGGGCUCGGGGGUUUUGCCCAGAAAUGGGUCAGAACGAAAGCCUCUCAGAGGAAAGAAAAGGGCAUGAGUCAAAGAGAAAGUCGGGGGGCAGGGGCUCCCCCUCAUCUCACCCCACCCAGGCCUCCUGACUCCCUGGGUUUGUGCGGACCCAGGCAGGCAGCCAACCCCAGCUCCGUGGUGUGUGAGCAUCGUGAUGAUCAGGACACAAGCUCUUCCCCGCUGAGCCUUCACUGUGGGCCAGCUUCCCGGUGGAUGCCCACUGAAGAGGCCUCAACCCAGUGGGCCCCACUCCAGACCAAGAGCAGACCAUUGGCCAGCUGCCCCCUGCAGACAGCGGCACCCGGGGCAGCAGCAAGGUGAGGGGCACCCAGCCCCAGCCCCAGGGGCGUCUCAGGGAGCGGGCUGAGCCUGGCUGUCUUCCUGAGCCCCACCUGCUUCAUGGGUUGGCUUGAGCAAGGCAGUCCAGAUGCGUGUCUCGAGCGCUCCCUGGCGGCAUGCUGCAAAGCUACAUGGCUCCGGCAACAAGGAAGACUGCCCUUAUUCUCAGUAACAGGUGGAGCUGGGGGCUGGAGAGCCCCUCGGACCUCGCCUUGGGAAAGCUGGGUGGGUGCACGGAGCCUGGCAGGUGGCCAAGGGGACCCCCAAGUGGAGGGAUUGGUCGAGGGGCAGCACAGGGUGGUGCAGUGGGUGAGCUCAGCCCCUCCCCUCCAACUCUCAUCCCAUUGAGCCCCAAGGCGUGGGGGGAUCACGUCUGUCCUUGUUCUCCUCCAGGUGGAGCUGCUGGGUGGGGCUCUGGUCCUCCAGGGACCCACUCUGCACCCCAAGUUUUGCCGGGACCCGCUCCUCUGUGUUGUGUGGCUGUAGGGGAGGGCUGCAGCCAGGGACUCUGAACCCGGGGCCGGCCCACCCAGCCACCCAGGGUGGGGAACAAGAUCGCCUCCCAGGGCCAGAAGCUGGGGAUGUCCUUGCUUCCUAGGAUGUUGGCUAGGGGAUCACACGCCCCACAUUCUGGGUCAAGCAUGGUCCUGCCCCAGCAUCUUGCUGGGUUGGGGGCAUCUCUGCACAGAUGAGUGCCACCCCAGCGUCUCCGCCAGGGUCUGGGCAUGUCACUCUUGGGCAUCUGUGCUCAGGAGGUCACCAGGUGUGGGCAGGGCACCAAGCAGGGAGGUAGCCGAGGCUGGAAGAUGCACAUCAGUGCCCCGCUGGGCUUCCUCAAGUGGGAACUGGUGGAGGGGGCGCUAGGCUGCCGGGCCAGGGUCAGCAGGCUCAGGCCGGCUCAGGGCUCAGAGUUGAGCCAGAAACCAAGGUGAAAUCUGCCUCUUACUGCCGCCAGGGCCCUUGGGACAGGGACAGGAACAGCAGAAGGUAAAGUGGAAAGGAAUUGAGUAAUGGGCCCCCAGGCAAGGCUGAGCCAGGCCCCAAGCCCAGGAUUGGGGUCUCCAGAGUCCCUGGGGGCCCCAGGGCAGCUCACCCACAGCCUGGGGCCUAUGGGAGCAAGGGGGCUCCUGAUGGGUGGGGGCAGGAGCUUGGACAAAGUUGAAGGCCUUCUGUCUGAAUUGGCCAGGGGCCAAUGAAAGCCAAAAAGCUGGUGUGGUGGCUUAUGCCUGUAAUCCCACUUUGGGAGGCCAAGGCGGGUGGAUCACCUGAGGUCAGGAGUUCGAGACCAGCCUGGUCAACAUGGUGAAACCCCAUCUCCACUAAAAAUAGCUGGGCGUGGUGGCAGGCACCUGUAUGUAAUCCCAAAUACUCGGGAGGCUGAGGCAGGAGAAUCACUUGAACCUGGGAGAUGGAGGUUGCAGAGAGCCAAGAUCAUAUCACUGCACUCCAGCCUGGCUGACAGAGUGAGAAUCUGUCUCAAAAAAAAAAAAAACAAUUCCAAAAAGGCGAGUGGGGAGCAGGGUGCUAGGCUGCAUGGGGGCCUAUGCCCCCACCGGAGGACCUAGCCCCCUGCCAACCCUUCCCCAGCUCAGGCCCACCAGCUCCCUUCUCACACAGCUGCUCUGGGAGGGAGUCCUUCCUUGCCAAUACCUAAGAGAAUGGGCAGCAGGGACCCUGAGGACAGGUUGGGGACACCCAGAACAAGAAGAAGAUGGGACACACUAGGAGGCUCUUGGGCCCCUGCGUCAGGCCAGCAGGAUAGGUGUGUAUUGUGACCUGAGGGACUGAACGUGGAGCUCCAGGGGAACCUCCCAGCCAGUGACACGCUGGCCUUGGGCCAGACGCUGCCCUGCGCCCUUGAGUGACGCUCGGGCCUCCCUGCACCCACCCGCUUUCCCUGUGGCUAAUGGCUUAGAGUGAAGGAUGGUGGGCGUGGGCGUGCCACGUGGGCUCAGCGUCCACCCUGCCCCAUGCACGCAGGCACCCAUCACACCAGGGCCCACACACAGGCUCCCAUCACACCCUGCCCCAUCACAGCAGUGCCCAGAGGGACAUGGGGCUCCCAGCUGAGGGCCAGCCCAAGGUCACAGGUGAGGAGUGAGAGGUGAGAGGCAAGGGGGCUUCCUGGUCUGGGUGGGCUGUGGCCCCCAAAACAUGUUGCUUAGGUCAAGCCAGUCUCCCCCAGCAGGGGUGAACAAUUUUCCCCCAGCCUGCCUGGCCCACCCUUUCUCCAGGGACGGUGCCCAGUGGGCCUUAUCUUCCCCAUGCCAGGUGUGAUGGUUAAUACUGUCAAUUUAAUUGGAUUGAAGGAUACAAAGUAUUGAUGCUGGGUGUGUCUGAGAGGGUGUUGCCAAAAGAGAUUAACACUAGAGUCAGUGGGCUGCGGAAGGCAGACCCACCCUUCAUCUGGUGGGCACCAUCUAAUCAGCUGCCAGCGAAUGUCAACCAGAAAAACGUGAAAAGGAGACGACAGGCCUCGCCUCCCAGCCUACAUCUUUCUCCUGUGCUGGACGCUUCCUGCCCUCGAACAUCGGACUCCAAGUUCAGCUUUGAGACUCGGGCUGGCUCUCCAUGCUCCUCAGCUUGCAGACGGCCUAUUGUGGGACCUUGUGAUCGUGUGAGUUAAUACUUAAUAAACUCCCCUUCAUAUAUA
ensembl:lncRNA LINC02908 long intergenic non-protein coding RNA 2908